CCUACGGGAGGCAGCAGUGGGGAAUAUUGCGCAAUGGGCGAAAGCCUGACGCAGCAACGCCGCGUGAAUGAAGAAGGCUUUCGGGUUGUAAACUUCUUUUGUCAGGGAAGAGCAGAAGACUGUACCUGUAGAAUACGCCACGGCUAACUAUGUGCCACCAGCCGCGGUAACACGUAGGUGGCAAGCGUUGUCCGGAAUUACUGGGAGGAAAGGUCGUGUAGCCGGGCGGACAAGUGAGAUGUGAAAUCCGGGGGCUCAACCGCGGAACUGCAUUGGAAACUGUUGGGCUUGAGUAUCGGAGAGGCAAGCGGAAUUCCUAGUGUAGCGGUGAAAUGCGUAGAUAUAUGGAGGAACACCAGUGGCGAAGGCGGUCUCCUGGCCAGUAACUGACGCUGAGGAACGAAAGCGUGGGGAGCAAAUAGGAUUAGAUACCCUAGUAGUC
rnacentral:rRNA from 1 species